rnacentral:lncRNA from 1 species
UUGAAAUUUUGACCAAAACGCAUCGUUCCGGCUUGACCUAUAGAUGCAUUAUAUAAUGUAGGUUAUUAUAUAUUUAGUUUAUCAUAUAUGGUUUAGGUUUAGGGUAUUAGGGUUCAUUAUAUAAUGUUUAUUAUUUUUGGAUUAGAGUUUAGGGUUUAGGGUUUACGAUGUAGGUUUAGUGUUUUCGGUUUAAGGUUUGAGAGUUUGGUGAUUAAGGUUCAGUGAUUAUUAUAAGUUAAAAAGUUUAUCGUAUAUAGUUUAGGGUUUUAGGGUUAAUCAUUAUAUAAUGUUUAUUAUUUUGUGAAUAUUAGAGUUUUGAGUUUAGGGUUUAUGAUGUAAGUUUAGGUUUAGG